rnacentral:rRNA from 1 species
UACGAAGGGGGCUAGCGUUGCUCGGAAUUACUGGGCGUAAAGGGCGCGUAGGCGGCGCUGCAAGUCAGGCGUGAAAUUCCUGGGCUUAACCUGGGGGCUGCGCUUGAGACUGUGGUGCUAGAGGAUGGAAGAGGCUCGUGGAAUUCCCAGUGUAGAGGUGAAAUUCGUAGAUAUUGGGAAGAACACCGGUGGCGGAGGCGGCGAGCUGGUCCAUUACUGACGCUGAGGCGCGACAGCGUGGGGAGCAAACAGG